rnacentral:lncRNA from 1 species
GGCAAGGAAAAACAGCCAGCCUUGUUCCCUCCUAGCUGCUGCGUCUGGUGAGAAGGAAGCGCACACACACACAGACCCCCGCCCCCACUCCACUCCCUCCAACCUCAGCACCGCCAAGAACCAGCCCAGCUCUGCGCCAGGCACUAGUAGCAAACAGAGAAGUCAUCCGGCUGAUGUGGGAAGCUGCAGCAGCAUGGCUCGUGGGAGGGUGGGGGAGACCAUCCCAUCUGAAUGCAGCAGCGGCUCGUCGAGUGGCCAAGGCGAGGCAGCCAGGAGGAAGAGGAGAGCGCUCUAUGGCUUUGGUGGGAAUCCCGGGGAGCUCCUUCUCUGCCCGGCUGGGGCAGCGGCUCGGUGACAAUCCUUUGACAUCCAGCCAAAGAUAGGUGGGCCCCACUCACCUCCAGGAAGGAGUGGCUGGAUCUUGAGCUAAAAUCACAAUAUUUGUGUUGGACUCUCCCACAGAGGGGUUGAAAACGAUCGGAGUCCCUCCAUGCGCGAGGUUAACCCUGCGCUGUCCCCUUUCUUUGACAGUGGAGACCGACCCCUUGUUGGCACGGAACAGUCAUACUCUGAAAAGAAAUGGGGGUGAAUAGGGAGGGGGACCAGCUGGCUUCCUGAAGCCUUCAAACUCCCAGGGCGUGAGUGUCUCAGCAAUCUAGAUCUGCAUGGUAGAUUUCAAUCAUUAGGGGCCUGGCUCUGCCAGGGGCUGGAUCAGAACCCCCACUCCCUCCAUCAGGGGUACAGGAACAAUCCGUAUAGUGGGGGUACUGAGAGCUAUUGAACCAAACUGUAAACCCUGAUGGUGGAAAGCACUUCAAGCCAGGGGGUGUGGCAGCACCCCUAGUUCCUGCACCCCUAGUUCCUGCACCUAUGCCCUCCAUUGCCAGGAGAGAGGUUCCCAAUUCAAACCUGAGCCAAGCUGGAAAUUGUUCAUUUGGCCCCAUCUCUGUUGUUGAACGAUUCCCCUCUGCGGCUGCCCUGCUGAAGCUGCCCUGGUUACUGCGCCCGGGGUUAGACCUGGGUAAGUGAUAACAUGAAAUCCCUGUUGUAGAAAACCAAAGUUUAAUGAAGAGUGUGGCGGCCAAACUUUCUCCUCCUGCAAACUGCGGUUCUGGCUAGUAACAGAACCUGAAUUUUGUUUUUUAAAAUCAAUUUCAGAAGCAUUUGUAAAUGCCCGAAUCUUUGUCCACCACUGAAUAAGAAGAAAGAAAAACCAAUAGUGUGGCACCUCUUUAAGUUUCUUUUGUUUGUCUGGGGGGGAAAGCCCCUAAAAUGAGACUUAAGAAACUAGUUUAAAGUAGCGCAGCAAGUUUUCAAGGAGUUAGGCCGUUGACUUCCUUUCUUUUCCCUAAUCUCAAGUCCCCUGCAGUUUGUGGUGUGUUG